rnacentral:rRNA from 1 species
CUGGUGCAUGGUCGUCGUCAGCUCGGUGUCGUGAGAUGUAGGGCUAAGUCCCGCAACGAGCGCAACUCUCGUUUUACGUCGCCACCAUGUGAUGGUGGGGAGUUAUCGGAGACCGCCGGGGUUCACUUGGAGGAAGGUGGGGAUGAGGUCCAAUUAUCCUGCCCCUUAUGUUCUGGGCUUCCCCCCUGCUACAAUGGCCGGUACAAAGGGCUGCGAUACCCCGAGGUGGAGCGAAUUCCAAAAAACCGGUCUCAGUUUGGAUUGGGGUUUGCAACUUGACCCCAUGAAGUUGGAGUCGCUAGUAAUCGCAGAUCAGCAACGCUGCGGUGAAUACGUUCCCGGGCCUUGUACACACCGCCCGUCAAGUCACGAAAGUCGGUAACACCCGAAGCCGGUGGCCCAACCCUUGUGGAGGGAGCCGUCGAAGGUGGGACUGGCGAUUGGGAAUGU